rnacentral:rRNA from 1 species
UGGGUAACCUGCCUCAAAGAGGGGAAUAGCCUCCCGAAAGGGAGAUUAAUACCGCAUAAUAUGUUUAAGUCGCAUGACUUUAACAUCAAAGGAUUUUCUUUUAGAAAUUCCACUUUGAGAUGGACCCGCGGCGCAUUAGCUAGUUGGUGAGGUAACGGCUCACCAAGGCAACGAUGCGUAGCCGACCUGAGAGGGUGAUCGGCCACAUUGGAACUGAGACACGGUCAGACUCCUACGGGAGCAG